UCAUCUGGCCUCCUGUUCCAGUGCUUCCAGGGGAUCCACGUUCAGAAGCUGACUCUGCAGGCAAGACCGACGUUAUUUUCCUGGUGGCUGUGUUCAAAACCACCCAAAGAGACUGGUGAACUAGAGAAUGCUGAGUCUGGAGGAGACGGAGGCAGGAGAGGAGGGAAGCAGGAUAACGUUGCCUGGUGGAGGCGGAUGCAGAAGGGGGGACUUCCCCUGGGAUGACGAGGAUUUCCGCAGUCUGGCCCUUUUGGGGGCAGGCGUUGCCAUGGGAUUUUUCUACCUCUAUUUUCGAGAUCCUGGAAGAGAAAUCACGUGGAAGCACUUUGUACAGUAUUACCUGGCCAGAGGUCUGGUGGACCGGCUGGAAGUCGUGAACAAACAAUCUGUGCGUGUUAUUCCUGCCCCUGGGACCUCUUCUGAAGUGAGGGGUGAAUUUAAGGCUGAGUAUUGCAGACAUAAGUUUAUUUCGUGUAAAAAUGUAGUUUUCUAUUUUUUUCAGUAAAAUACUCCCUUAGUAUCCAUC
rnacentral:lncRNA from 1 species